UACGUAGGUGGCAAGCGUUGUCCGGAAUUAUUGGGCGUAAAGCGCGCGCGGGCGGCCUCUUAAGUCUGAUGUGAAAGCCCCCGGCUCAACCGGGGAGGGCCAUUGGAAACUGGGAGGCUUGAGUAUAGGAGAGAAGAGUGGAAUUCCACGUGUAGCGGUGAAAUGCGUAGAGAUGUGGAGGAACACCAGUGGCGAAGGCGGGUCUCUGGGCAUUUCCUGACGCUGAGGCGCGAAAGCGUGGGGAGCAAACGGG
rnacentral:rRNA from 1 species